UUUUCUUUCAGAUCUUGUGACCUUUUGAUAUUUUUUAUUUUAAUUGUGCCAUGGACCAUUUGUAAACAAAUCGAUUUACUUUUGUUGGUUAUAAGUUGAAGAUUUAGCAUCAUGACUUUAAGGUCUGUGGUUUUAUUUGUAAACUUGCAAUUGCUCUUUUUGCAAGGGCAAAAGUAUUUCUUUAUUAAAUAAAGUACAAUAAUGGUGAAUGUACCAAAAUGCCAUCACUUAACUCUAUGAGAGAUCUGCAUUUUAAUCUAUAGUUUAAUAGUUUUAAUAUUUAUUAGCUAUUCAUAUGUUGAUCAUAGAUCAAACUUGUUGCUGUUUAUACAGAUAAUUGUAGAAUGCUCAUGGAAUAUCUUCUUUAGGAUAGGUGGAACCUUUCUGUAGUUAAACUGGGAAACCUUGUUGAGCUGGUUGAAGAUAGUGAUGCCCAUUUGAAAGUAAAUUUACACAGGUGUGAAUAGGUGCACUCAUAGAGACUUUGCUUCAGGAAAAUGUCAGUUCUAACGGUAACUGAUAGAGAUGUGAAUUUUUUAAAAGGCUGAUUUUAGGCACAUUUUGUUAACAUACAUCAGCAAAGUCAUAUUAGAAGAUCUGAAUGAACAAUCACGACCUCAGUGAUUAAAAAUAUUAUUUUCCUUUCUGGCCUUGAGCAGAUUGUUUACCUGUUAGACUCUAGACUCUGAACCCAGCAUAUAAAAAGAAUUCGAAAUGCUGAUGACGCAAGUGAGACUAUAUAUGUAAAAUGUUUUUAGCACUUUUCCCUUUUAAAAAGUAAAAACAGAUUAUCCUCGUGCGUUUUAAAAAUAUCUUUUCAGUUCUGAAAAUGUAGCAGGAAUGGAAAAAGUACUGAAAAAUGUCAUAUUUUAAAUGUUGGUUAUUAGAUCAAUUGAACUGAUCUGCUUAGGAUUUCCUGUAACUACACCUUUCAGAAGUGUGGACGGAGCAGUGGAAUUGCCCAUUGGGGAACAGUAAGCCCCUGCCUUGGAAAGGCAUCCCACAAAUCCUGGGCCAGAAGGUAUGGCCUGUUGAAACAUGGAGGUUCAGGUUUUUUGUUUUGCGAUGUAGAUAGGCAUGUAUUUAUGCAUUUUUGCAUUUGUAAAAUCAGCAAUUUUUCAAGUAAUGUAAAUGUAAUAUACUAGUUUACUUAAAAAGGUACUUGGGCAGAAUCUAAAGCUGCUACAGUGUUUGAUUAUGAGAAAUGUAACUUGUGGUAAGGAUGAAAAUGCAACUUGUUAGAACCAAAGGAAAUAAAAAUUUUGGGUAGUGUUUCAAAUUGUCUUUUGAACAGGAGUUUCUUAAAUACAUUGGUUUUGAUCAAAUGAAACUCAGUUCUCUCUUGAGAUUUGUGCUAAUCGUAAAAUGGAUGAAUGCAAAAACACCUUGUAAUUUAAUAUGGAAUUAUUAUAAUUAGGUUUACUGGAUUAUUAGCCUAAUAAGAAUGCUAGUAUGUAUUGGUUAGAAUACAUCUUAAUAUUUCACAUAAAAAAUUCAGUACACUUUCUUCAGAAUUUUCUUUUAUUUCAACUUGGAGCCUAGAUUACUUUGCCAAAUAAAUGUAUUAUUUUCAUAAUGCAAUAAAAUAUAA
ensembl:lncRNA